GCCGGUGUAGCUCAACGGGUAGAGCAGCGCUCUUGUAAAGCGCAGGUUGGAGGUUCGAGUCCUCUCACCGGCU
rnacentral:tRNA from 1 species